rnacentral:tRNA from 1 species
GGAAAAAUAGUUUAAACUAAAACAAUUAAGUGUGAUUUAAUAAUUGAGAUUUAUUCCAACCUCUUUUUCCA